rnacentral:misc_RNA from 1 species
UCACCUGAUUCUGCAGAUGGCUCCAGGUUUUCAUCAGUUGCUCCUGAUGGUCUUGGCUGGCUCACUUCACUCUGUUCUGUUUCAUAGGCACUACCAUCUAAAACAUUAAUUUCUGUAUGUUCAUCAUCCUCAGUUAUUCCCUCCAUUGAGAUUGCUUCUGCUGCCAGAACAGGAACAUUCCCUUGAUCAUUCUUCCUCUCAAUUUGAUCCUCAUAAUUAGCAGCAGCACCAAAAUGAUCAGACCCCCUAUAAUUCCUCUUCAAAAAUCUCCUCAUUCUUGAAGAACUUUCCAUAAAGUCUAGCUUCCAAAAGA